UCCCGGUUGGUGAACCAGCGGAGGGAUCAUUACAGAGUUGCAAAACUCCAACAAACCAUCGCGAAUCUUUCCCGUACGGUUGCCUCGGCGCUGGCGGUCCGGAAGGCUCUCGGGCCCCCCGGAUCCUCGGGUCUCCCGCCCGCGGGAGGCUGCCCGCCGGAGUGCCGAAACCAAACUCUUGAUAUUUUAUGUCUCUCUGAGUAAACUUUUAAAUAAGUCAAAACUUUCAACAACGGAUCUCUUGGUUCUGGCAUCGAUGAAGAACGCAGCGAAAUGCGAAAAGUAAUGUGAAUUGCAGAAUUCAGUGAAUCAUCGAAUCUUUGAACGCACAUUGCGCUCGCCAGUAUUCUGGCGAGCAUGCCUGUUCGAGCGUCAUUUCAACCAUCAAGCUCUGCUUGCGUUGGGGAUCCGCGUCUGACGCGGUCCCUCAAAAACAGUGGCGGGCUCGCUAGUCACACCGAGCGUAGUAACUCUACAUCGCUAUGGUCGUGCGGCGGGUUCUUGCCGUAAAACCCCCAAUUUCUAAGGUUGACCUCGGAUCAGGUAGGAAUACCCGCUGAAC
rnacentral:rRNA from 1 species